rnacentral:rRNA from 1 species
UACGUAGGGGGCAAGCGUUAUCCGGAUUUACUGGGUGUAAAGGGAGCGUAGACGGCAAUGCAAGUCUGGAGUGAAAGGCGGGGGCCCAACCCCCGGACUGCUCUGGAAACUGUAUAGCUGGAGUGCAGGAGAGGUAAGUGGAAUUCCUAGUGUAGCGGUGAAAUGCGUAGGUAUUAGGAGGAACACCAGUGGCGAAGGCGGCUUACUGGACUGUAACUGACGUUGAGGCUCGAAAGCGUGGGGAGCAAACAGG